rnacentral:lncRNA from 1 species
AAUAGUCCAAUAUGUUUAGAAUAUUCUCCUAAAAUUUCAAAUCGAUCCGAGUAAAACUAUAGGAGAUAUAUUCUUCGGAAGUUCCGCCCAUUAGGCCACGUCAGCGCAGCUUCAAAACUUUAAACGUAUUUAUGUAUCUCAAAAUUCUAUUUUUUAAGUCGGUGGACACGAUUUAGUUAUAAACCGAUUUGGCUCACGAAAUAUUUUUGGUUUUUUUGAUUUUAGAUAAAAUCCAAUUAUGAGUUAUGAUGUCCACGGUAAGAUCACUUUUUGUUGAGACGUCACGGGAGAUGAGUUGUCAACGGCUCAGUUUUCAGAAUUUUUACAUGAAAAUUUUUACAAAAUAGUCUUUAAAUAUGUACCUUCGAUAUGCUGAAUUGUUUGAAUGAAAUAUAUGAUUGCAUAUAUUUAAAAAAAAAAUGAUGAAAAUACGUUUAUUUUUAGCCUCUGAAACCCACCUAACCCCUUAAAACAUAGUACAACUGACGCCCUGUGUUUCACCAAGGAACUUUGAAAACAUAUACCUAUAUGUACAUAUAUACAAUUGACAACCUUGUAGUACACCUGUUGAUCAAUAGGACUCUUAGCAACAAAUUACUUCUUGCACAAGCUAGAGCAUCCUACACCAACGUAUUCUAACCUUCUCACAGGGAUUUGGUAAAACUGAGGGUGAUAGAACGGGUGCGGUUAUUUUUAUAUAGACUCACGGGGUUUUCAAACUCAGUUCUAGUGGACUAACCAUUGUGGCAAAAAUAUGAGCUUUUGUAAUGGAGCUCACCUGAACCACUACGGCUAUGACAAUUAAUGCUCUUAACGUUUUUACUCGGUGAAUCACCACAUUCUAAGCAGUUACCACAUUAUUUUCCACAUAACCGACGUAGUUAUCAUUCGAUGAUUGGGUGAACCAUUCCACACUUUGGAGAAGAGCAAGACGAACUUGUCCUCAAAUGGAGCUACGCCCAACUUUAAAAAGGUUUAAACUUCAAAUGACCAUACACAUCUCAAUGUCUAGUACCGAAUUUUUGUAUCCUGGCUUGAAGCUCGUUAUGUUUCCCGACAUCUCGUUUAACGGAAUGUUUUGGUCUUGGCAAUAUAUACAUAUGUAUAUAAUAUACCAAGUUUCCUCAAUGUAUAUUCAGUUAACGCUUGCACGGACAGACUGACGGUCAAUUAAUCAUCCAGAAUUCUCGUAAUCCUGAUCAUUUAUAAUAUAAAGAACCCUUAGGUGCAUAUAUAUAUACAUACAUAGAUAAUUAAAUAAUUACCAGGAAAUUGAAAGUCCUGCUAUAUAAGAGGAUGAGAUUAAACUUUCGCUAUUUUAUAGUAUAAUCAUCGGGCACAACGAGAAUUCCCGACACGAUAAACAUCUCCAAGCAUUAAGUAUGUGAAAGAGCACGUCAAGGCGAGAUACAAGCGUUUAUAUGGUGGUGGCGUCAUUGCGUUAAAGCUGUCGAAUUUGGUUGAACUCCAAGCUAAAUCGUAAAGCAAUUAAGAAAAUGUAUAGAAGGCGCCAAAUGUGUUCGCAAAUUAGUAUAAUUGAAACCAAAUGAUUGAUAGUUGUGAUUUUAAAUUACAUAUAUUUAUCUGAAAGUAUUGUAUCACAUCUUCAUUUUAGACACAUAAUUAAAUAAGUAUAGGGGAACUCGAACACAUAGACCGAGAAGGUUAAAGGCGCCACUUCGAAGUCCUCAGUUAUGGUGUGAUCGAGCAGUGUAUCAUCGCAGAUCUGUACCAAUUUCAUGACUGAUUUCAGAUGAAGACAAAGCAAGCCAUGAUGAGCGAAAUGAGAGAAUGAUUGCCAUGCAUUUUUUCAUGUGUAGUAGUUUCAAAAAGCAAAUAAUUUAUGCGGGAUUUUAAUUGUAUUUAGAUAAAUGCAUAUAUUGCGCAUAGCCGCAGAUUAAGAAAACCACAUCACUUCCAAUUAUUAUUGGUGUGUAUUUGUUAAUAUUUAAAUUGAAAAAUAAAUUCUUCUUAAACUAUACUAUCGUUUGGGAUUAAAUUUUGCACCUUUUUACAGAUGAACAUUUAUAUAUUGUUCAACAA